rnacentral:lncRNA from 1 species
UUUUCUUCCAAUUGCUUAAGAACCAAACCCCUUAGUCCUAAAAUAAAAAUCAAGAUCCCUCAAAAUUCAACCAUAAAAUUUCAAAAUUUAUUUAAGAUUUGAAAUCCCCAUUGCGAGGGCUACAAGAAGCACCCAUCAAUUGUUCGUAUAGAAUUCCUAACGCGAGAUUUCAUUCGAAAGCUUCUAAUUUAAGGUACGCGGGUUUUUUUUUAAAAUCUCAUAGGCAUAGAAAUCAUGAUUUUAAGAAAAGGGUUUCGGAUUUAUGAAUAUAUUCAUGUUUUAGAAACAUUGAUGAUAUUGUUUUGGUCUUUUGGCCUUUCCCAAAUUGAUAUGAAUUAAUAUAUGUGUAUAUGUACGUGUUUUAAUGUUGAUGAUUGAAUUGAGAACAUGAUUCAUGUAAAAAAAAUCCCUCUCUUGUUAUGAUUUUCUUUACUUAUCAUAUGCUAUGGAUUAUCUUGAAUGCAUCAUUGAAAAGCAUGAUAUGAAAUGUCUUAAGUAUUGUUAUAAUUGGAUUAUGAUUUUGAUUUCAAAAGAGAGGGUAGUUAUGUUGAUAAAUGUUGAAAAUAUUCAUAUAACGAAAGAGUGCAUGAUUUUGCCAAAACCACAUGACCACUAUAUGUUUGAAGGAUUUUUGCAUAGUUUUGACUUAUGUUUCGGAACAUGAAAUCUCUUAAACUAUUUGCAUGUUUGGGUGGUCUGGAUUGAGUUUUCUUGAAAGAAUCAUGCAUGUUACAAUAUGGCUCAAAAUUAGGACUUGCAAGUCUUGGUGUGACGAUACCAACUCAGUUAAAGCCAUAGUAAUUCAGAACAGAAUAGAACACAUGUUUGAAAUCAGAUUUUCAGAUAUUGAAACUAAAAAUAUGAAUGAUUCAGAACAGGAUAAAAUUGGACAUAAAGAGAGCUUAGGUGGUUCCCUGAAGAAGACAUGAGUUCAGAUAACUCAUUGCCCAAACCGUAAUUUACUGAUCCGGGUAUAUUAUUAUACGCUAGCCUAGUGCCUUGUGUCUUAUGAAACUUAGAUACUCCAACCCUUGUGGCACACUUGGGUUGGGGGCUUCCCAAUGGCAGAUUCCAUAUAGCCCGUGGAAUAUCAGACUUGUAAGGGAGUGCCACCUAACUUAGAAGUAAUACAAAGAUCAGAAACGGUAUUGUCAAGAAUGGUUUAUGAUUUUCAGAAAAGUGCCCAUGUGUUUUGAAACUAUUUUAUGCAUGAUGUUUUGUAACCCAUUCUCAACUAUUUUAUAUUUAUGCAAACUUAUUAUUUUGGAUUUUUCGCGUACUAGUACAUCUGUAUUGACCCCCUCCCCCUACCUCUCAGGUUCUGAGGCUCAGUCUAGGGGUCCAGAUAAGCAGUAGAUUUCAUCAGACAGAGUUGCAGUGUUCAGUUGGUGAGCCUUCUAUAUUUCAGAAGGCCUGUUUACUUUCCAACGAUUACUAUUAGUUAUGGUUUUGGUCUACUGGGGGCCUUGUCCCUGUUUUUAGAUUGUGUUAAUGAUCAUGUAGUAGAGAUUUCGCAAACGGUUUGCAGAUGUUGUUAGAUGGUUUUGGAUUUCAUUCUCCAUUGCUAACUUUAUAUCAGAUUUAUGACCAUGAUUCCGUUUGUAAUAAUUUCUUUCUUAUCUGUGU